rnacentral:rRNA from 1 species
ACCAUGCAGUCGAACGAUGAACCACCUUCGGGUGGGGAUUAGUGGCGAACGGGUGAGUAACACGUGGGCAAUCUGCCCUGCACUCUGGGACAAGCCCUGGAAACGGGGUCUAAUACCGGAUACUGACCUGCCAAGGCAUCUUGGCGGGUCGAAAGCUCCGGCGGUGCAGGAUGAGCCCGCGGCCUAUCAGCUUGUUGGUGAGGUAAUGGCUCACCAAGGCGACGACGGGUAGCCGGCCUGAGAGGGCGACCGGCCACACUGGGACUGAGACACGGCCCAGACUCCUACGGGAGGCAGCAGUGGGGAAUAUUGCACAAUGGGCGAAAGCCUGAUGCAGCGACGCCGCGUGAGGGAUGACGGCCUUCGGGUUGUAAACCUCUUUCAGCAGGGAAGAAGCGAAAGUGACGGUACCUGCAGAAGAAGCGCCGGCUAACUACGUGCCAGCAGCCGCGGUAAUACGUAGGGCGCAAGCGUUGUCCGGAAUUAUUGGGCGUAAAGAGCUCGUAGGCGGCUUGUCGCGUCGGUUGUGAAAGCCCGGGGCUUAACCCCGGGUCUGCAGUCGAUACGGGCAGGCUAGAGUUCGGUAGGGGAGAUCGGAAUUCCUGGUGUAGCGGUGAAAUGCGCAGAUAUCAGGAGGAACACCGGUGGCGAAGGCGGAUCUCUGGGCCGAUACUGACGCUGA